UCUAGCGACAAUAGCGACAUGGCCCCACCUGAUCCCAUUCCGAACUCAGAAGUGAAACGUGUUAGCGCCGAUGGUAGUGUGGGAGUUCCC
rnacentral:rRNA from 1 species